rnacentral:rRNA from 1 species
UAUCAGCUUGAUGGUGGGGUAAUGGCCUACCAUGGCUUCGACGGGUAGCCGGCCUGAGAGGGUGACCGGUCACACUGGGACUGAGACACGGCCCAGACUCCUACGGGAGGCAGCAGUGGGAAUAUUGGACAUGGGCGGAAGCCUGAUCCAGCAACGCCGCGUGAGGGAUGACGGCCUUCGGGUUGUAAACCUCUUUCAUCACAGACGAAGCCUUUGGGUGACGGUAUGUGGAGAAGAAGCACCGGCCAACUACGUGCCAGCAGCCGCGGUAAUACGUAGGGGUGCGAGCGUUGUCCGGAAUUAUUGGGCGUAAAGGGCUCGUAGGCGGUUUGUCGCGUCGGGAGUGAAAUCCAUGGGCUUAACUUAUGGCUUGCUUUCGAUACGGGCAGACUAGAGGUAUGCAGGGGAGGACGGAAUUCCUGGUGUAGCGGUGAAAUGCGCAGAUAUCAGGAGGAACACCGGUGGCGAAGGCGGUUCUCUGGGCAUGUCCUGACGCUGAGGAGCGAAAGUGUGGGGAG